CAACAAUGUAGUCAAGACCGACAUUGGAAUCCAUGAUGAAUGCAUUUGUGAUAACUUUCAAUGCAAUCUUAAACAAAUAAAAAAAUUCAAUACGUAUUUUUAAUGUACAAUACAUUGUAAUUAAUAUUACUAGCAGUAUUUAAUUAUAAUAACUAAUAACAAUGAUAGUUUGUUCGAAGAAAUACGAGGACACGCGUAAUUGCUAAAGUUUUGUAAAAACUUAAGAAGCCGGAUGAGCUUGUCGCGGUGGGUGAAGAUAUUACUGAUAUGAUUUAAAUAAAUUUGCGAUUUGAUUCGAUGGCGAAUAAAAUAAUUGGAAUAUACAGAUGGAGAUAUAGAUAGAGAUACGAGAUGCUGAAUGCCUCCUCUAAACUUGGGACCGAGACAACACGACUAAUUGUUUACGUUUUUUUUUAUUGAUUAAUCAUUCCUGAAACGAAUGUGUCUCAAGGAUACGCGGACUUAUUUAGAAAUAUAAAACAGCCGCAAAUAAUCUUCAGUUGCCGUAAGAACAAAGAGCUUUUAAUAAGUUUUAUUAAGUAAUUUAUUUAUGACAUGAUACGCGAUGGUAGCCGUAGUGGAAAGCAAUAAGUAAAAGGAACGAGUGUGUCAUACUCGCAAACAAGGAUUUAACUGGGAUAUUUCCAUCUACGGGU